CACGUAAUGGUGGGGACUCUAGCCAGACUGCCUGUGCAAACAGAGAGGAAGGAGGGGACGACGUCAAGUCAUCAUGGCCCUUACGUCCAGGGCAACACACGUGCUACAAUGGGCGGUACAGAGGGUAGCUACACAGCGAUGUGAUGCCAAUCCCAAAAAGCCGUUCUCAGUUCGGAUUGGAGUCUGCAACUCGACUCUAUGAAGCUGGAAUCGCUAGUAAUCGCGUAUCAGCUAUGACGCGGUGAAUACGUUCCCGGACCUU
rnacentral:rRNA from 1 species